UGCUAGCUCUGGAUGCCAGCUCGUUCCGCGUCUCUUGGUAGACUAGUUGGUGCAUUUCUGUUAUCAUGGACUGCGCAUAGAAACGCAAACUACACAAAAGUGACAUGGACAAGAACAGCGCAAGCCCUUUCCAUGCAAUGGAGCCGCCGUAUCUCGCCGUUCAAGAUAUGCGUACUCGAAACACUGGAACGACACUGCUUAAAUUGAAGCACAGUGUGCGAAUGACCUGCUACGCUCGGAACUGUUAUCACCAUUCGGGAAGAAAUCAGAUGAAAAAACAAAACUGUAAAUGCCUGUACGAUAUACGUCUGGUGCAUAUUGCAGGUGAACUUUUUUUCCAGAUACGGAGGAACGGACACCGGUCAUGCCGUGCGCACUCUUCUGCGGGGCAUACUCACAAAUGAAGCUGCACUGCAGUUCAGCUGGAAAGGGUCCCAGGGGAGGAAGCACGCCUUCGUGAAGCUCACGGCCAUCACGAAUCUCAUUCCAACAUCUGUGAGGAGCAUGCCUUCCCAGACGCUUCACUGGCAUCAGUGGCUGGAGUCACGAAACGCUGGUUAGUCGGAGCAGCUGACAGGGAUGGAGGCCGGAACGAGAGAAGGCGCCGUGACCCCGCUUCAAGCCCACCCAUGAACCAGCGUUUGACCUAUGUGAACGUGUGGGUGUAUAU